CUAUAAAUACCCAUGCAAACAUCAAGAGUUGAAGUUUGUCUGAUGGCGAAGAUGAUGCAAUUUCAUUCCUUAAGCUGUCUUAUGCUCGUGGUGCUUGGCCCAGGUGUCUCGUUGAGUUUUGCGAUACACAAGUCUGUCCUUAAUGGGGAACGUCCAGAGGUUUCCUCCUUAGGGGCCGCCUCUCAACUUACGGUCAACUGUACUUUAAACAACUUUAACAACGAUGAUCCGAACGCUAAUAAGACCUUGACCUUCUCUCGUUACAACGAAACAAAGCAGCAAUACGAUGACCUUUUGAAACUUGACUUAGAUAGCGAGACACUCCUCAAAGCCUCAGAGAAAGUACGCCUCAAAGAGAAAUUCAUUACGCUUGGACAUUUGAUUGUUAGCUUGAGUGUACAGAAUCCAUUGGAUGGGGAUGAGUACAGGUGUGACUUUGACAUCAGGACAAACUAUCCAGUAGCCACGCGACUAUGGUUCAAAUACAUAAUGUAGAAAUGAGCCAGAGAAGCGAACCGGAUGUGACGCCGUCUGAAACGUGUUUUCAAAGCCCGGAAACGAAAGCGUUGGCAGACGAUCAAGAGAACGUGUCGGACGCACGGUUACGUGCAGAUAGACAAAGUAAACACAGAGCAGGUUUGGUUCUAUCUGUUUCCCCACUUAUGCUUGUCAAUACCUACACAGACACGUUGGAAUUAAUGUGCAAAUAUAAAAACUCACCUUUUGUACAUAUUUCAUCCAUGUCCCUUUUUACAUUCGUUAUCACUGGAAAAGCCAGAAUUCAAAUACAUAUAUAGUGUAAAUAGCUAUAGCAACAAAGGUCAGUCAAGUGUUUCUUCUUUGAAGAAUACGAGCGGAGCUAUAGAUAGUAGUGGGGAAUCUUUUUUGAAACUAAUAGUUGAUGAUCAAACGGUCAGUAAAAUAGGACUGUACAAAUGUGAGAUCAUUGGUUUCGAUGUGGAGCAUGGGAAGCCCGUGUUAGUUUCUAGAGACGUCGUGGUCGAAGCUUCCAAAAACGUCCUAGAUGCAGUCGUUGAACUAUUUGAACACAAGACACGUCUGCUAAAAGAAUCUCUUGAGUUAUUGCAUUCCAAAAGAACUAACAAUGAAUUGGACACGAAGGCGAUUUCACUUGCAAUUAAAAAAAUAGAAACUGACUUGAACAAAUCAACAUCACAAAUAAGAUUAGACAAUGAACAGACAAAGAAUGGGAUGUUGAUUAUGAAAAAGUUGAAUGAUGAAUUAAGGGACAAUUAUGAAGCUGUGAAGAAAACAUUGGAUGAAGUGGUGGGCAAAAUGAAGAAAUUUGAAACUGAUCCUAAAUCACUUUUUCAAAAAUCUCUGGAGUCUCUGUUCAUUGCCUCUGAGGUAUUC